CCGUAACAGUCUUUCGGCCCAAAUACCUUCAAAUUAUCGGGCCCAAGUAGUACAGACGCUGCCGCUUGGUACUCGGGCGUGUUUUCACACCUCCGAGCGCGUGCACACCCACCCGCACCGCCGCACGCUCAACCGGGCCACUUAUCUUACAGAAAGCUGGGCUACGAGAGACCACCACCACCGCCACGGCCCGCGCUGCGUCAGCCGACGAACCCACCGUGGCCACGCCCCCGGAGGCAUCGAGGGCAGCACAGUUGCGCCGCGCCGACGGUGCCGGACGAGCAGCCGACCGGCCGUCGACCAGUGGCUCCCACCGAGUCCAGGUUCCUCCCGCGGCGCCACCCAAAGGCGCAGCCGCGCGAGGUACCCCGGGCGGCGGCUGCGGCAAGUGAGUCAUCAGACACUUCCAAGUUCCAACUGAACGUUAGGAUGCAUUUGAGCUGGCUACAAAAGAGCUACAGCAUACUGCUGUGUCCAGGCGUGAUGCCCCUGCAAUGCUUGUUUAUGGUCUUCUUAAAUCUUAAGCAUGUUGUAAAUACAUGGAUAGGAUACGACUGGUUAUUCUUCCUGUCUCUUGUCAAAGCUCAAGUUGAAAACUUUGCCACCGCACUUGGGUUGACAUCUCAACCUAAUUGCUAUUUGACACUGCUAACUUUGAGCACGCGAAAGGAAAUUUCUCCAGUCCAUGCUUGUGUAGUUAGCUACCCAGAGUGCAGACUUGGUGUACUGCACGAAUGGAGACAGGGUGGCGGCAUUGGAAACCAUAUUCUUUGUUCGAUGAUAUCCAAAAUCUUCACCAUCUGGAAGACAUACUAUCAGCAGACUAAGCAGCACGUCCAUAUCAUUUCCAGAAUCAUAUCAAGCAGGCUGCUGAGCGUGCGACGGGUUUUGCAGAAGCACAAGGCUGGUACACAGAGAUGCUCGAGUUUCCGGUGUUUGCGGUACUACAUCUUUGGUGCACACAUCUGA
rnacentral:lncRNA from 1 species